rnacentral:rRNA from 1 species
UACGGAGGGGACUAGCGUUGUUCGGAAUUACUGGGCGUAAAAGCGCGCGUAGGCGGGGCUGGUCAGUUGGGGGGUGAAAAUCCCGAGGCUUAACCUCGGAACUGCCUUCAAUACUGCCAGUCUUGAGUUCGGAAGAGGUGAGUGGAAUUCCUAGUGUAGAGGUGAAAUUCAUAGAUAUUAGGAAGAACACCAGUGGCGAAAGGCGGCUCACUGGUCCCGAUACUGACGCUGAGGUGCGAAAGCGUGGGGGAGCGAAACAGGAUUAGAUACCCCUAGUC